GCCAGUGCUAUAUCUCCCUGUAGCUCUCACCUGGUUUCCCACUGAAGUUAUGCAGGGUUGAGCCUAGCCAGUACCUGGAUGGGAGAUGUCAUGGGGGAAAACGAAGGUUGCUGCUGGAA
rnacentral:rRNA from 1 species